rnacentral:lncRNA from 1 species
ACACCUUAAUAUAUAGAUAAGUAUUCUGUUUGGUUUUUAUUCAUUUCUAUUGGAUUCAGGAGACUCUAAAGACAUGGACCUUCAUGUGCCCAUAUAUUUUUUUAGUAUUUUUUUAUAUUUUCUUAUAAUACGAUUGUGAACCUUCAUGUGCUCCCAUAUUUUUGGUAUUUUAUGACUAUAUAAAAUAGACUCGAUAACCGAUAGGUAUAGUUACCUAAUAACUAAGGGAUGCUCCUCCCCCAAGCUAGAUGUUUGCAAUAGUUGGUGUUGAUGAUCUUCAGAGUGAGAUAACUAGCAGCGCUCUAGGUGGGUGCCACUAAUAGACUCUCUCCUUGUCAUAAUAUUGUUCCUGUAUAAUUACACUCGAAAAAGAAAACCAAAACUCGAGGCUCGAAUUUAAUAAUGGGUUAGCGGUCAGCCAGUAAGUGAUUGAUUGUUCUUAUAAGUUGAUUUGAAUUAACAGAUUCUAGCAGGAUUCUCUCUUUUUUAGGAUUUUCUAGUUUAAUUAUGCAGUAAUGAAAUAUGUGUACAUGAUGUAUAGUUGUAUUAUUAUGCCUCCACAGAGAAUAUUUAUUCUUUUGGAGCUUAAGUUUUUCAUAAUGCAAGAAAGUAAAUACAUAAGCUAUUAUUAUUAUUCUUUUUGUCACCACAGUAAAUAUUCCUACAGGGUUUCCAUAAGUUAACUCAUGUGGAGCUUUUCAUAUUUUAUGAUGCAGUAAAUGAAGCAAUAAAGAUUUAUUUUAUAUUAUUUUAUUUUUAUAUUUAUGUAGAUGAAAAUAUUAAAUUGAAAUUAUUAAUGUAAACAAGAAAAUUAAAUAGAUAACUACCAUAUUACCUUAUGGUAAGAAUACAAAUUUAAAGUUUUACCGACAGGUCUUCUUCUUCCACUUUUGUGUAUCUCUCCAUCUUGAGAGAUGGAGGUCUUGAUGGUUGCAUACCUCUAGUGAUGGUAAUGUCACUUUUGUUCUUUGAUUUGGUCCGUAGGUUGAAAUAGAGCUUUAAUAGUAGCUAACAGCAUCUUGCUCAGUCAUGCUCGCAGAACUUUCACUUGUAGAAUUAAUAAACUUUGCUUGAUGUGUUGUCCUGUUUGCAAAACUAAGGUAGAGAUCAAGUUCAUGGGCUCUGCUGGUGGAAAAACACCAACAGAACCAAAUCUAUUUCUUUAUUUAUUUUUCUCCAUCCUUAGGCACAUUAAACAAGAUAAAGUUAUGUUACAUGAUUUACUUAUUUAUGUGUGGUAAGUUCA